ACGAAGGGGGCUAGCGUUGCUCGGAAUCACUGGGCGUAAAGGGCGCGUAGGCGGUCUUUUAAGUCGGGGGUGAAAGCCUGUGGCUCAACCACAGAAUUGCCUUCGAUACUGGGAGACUUGAGUUCGGAAGAGGUUGGUGGAACUGCGAGUGUAGAGGUGAAAUUCGUAGAUAUUCGCAAGAACACCGGUGGCGAAGGCGGCCAACUGGUCCGACACUGACGCUGAGGCGCGAAAGCGUGGGGAGCAAACAG
rnacentral:rRNA from 1 species